rnacentral:rRNA from 1 species
UUGUGUGCCCAAACGUCCUGAAAAGCCUGAUCUCUCAGAAGGGAAGCAGGUUGGAUGUGGUUAGUACCUGGAUGGGAGACCACUAGGAAUACCAGGUGCCACAGCGA